rnacentral:rRNA from 1 species
UGGGGAAUAUUGCACAAUGGGCGCAAGCCUGAUGCAGCCAUGCCGCGUGUAUGAAGAAGGCCUUCGGGUUGUAAAGUACUUUCAGCGGGGAGGAAGGGAGUAAAGUUAAUACCUUUGCUCAUUGACGUUACCCGCAGAAGAAGCACCGGCUAACUCCGUGCCAGCAGCCGCGGUAAUACGGAGGGUGCAAGCGUUAAUCGGAAUUACUGGGCGUAAAGCGCACGCAGGCGGUAUGUCAAGUCGGAUGUGAAAUCCCCGGGCUCAACCUGGGAACUGCAUUCGAAACUGGCAGGCUAGAGUCUUGUAGAGGGGGGUAGAAUUCCAGGUGUAGCGGUGAAAUGCGUAGAGAUCUGGAGGAAUACCGGUGGCGAAGGCGGCCCCCUGGACAAAGACUGACGCUCAGGUGCGAAAGCGUGGGGAGCAAACAGG